UUCUCUCUCUUUUUUAAGGUCCUAAGUUCUCCAUGAUGUUCUCAUAGACCAAAAUAUAAAGUGAGGAUUCAGGCACCAAAUUAAAAGACACCAUAAAAGUGAAUUCAACACCAACUCGGCUGCUAAAGCAGUAAUAUGCAGCACUGGCAUAUUUCCCUCUUUCAACAUGGAAGAUUCUACAAAGCAGACAACAGUGACCUAGUUACAAGAGGUGUGCUCAUAAAUAUAUUACGCCGCCAACCAGUAAGCAAUUUCAAGCAUUCUUUUUUCAGAGAAUAAACUGAGAACUCUGGGGAAGCAUCAGUCUCCUCUCCUGAUACCACCCAGACUGUCCCUCCAGCUCUGCUCUAUCAUGACCUGUUACUUCACUUCCCUUUGCCAGUGGCACUACUUAAAUACACCAAAGUCGUGGUCAUUCUGCAUGGUAUUGCCUGCACGGGGUGCUCUGGAGCUGGGUCCUUCAAGACUAGCAGAGAGAAAUUUCUGAGAAUUCAUGGAAAAACGGUUGUGGAGAAGGAAUGGACAACUAUAUAAAUCUUGGGGUAGUGCCAAUCUCUCGCCUCUCAUCCUUCCUCUGAAGUUGUACUGAAGCCUUCAUGCUGGACAAUGUGGCCACCAAGACUGUUGUAGUGCUACUCAGUUGCUUUACCUCCUCUGUUUUGGAUUGGGAAGCUUUACCUCCUCUGUUUUGGAUCGUCACCAAUACAGUUCUCAGGGAGACACACCAGGAGGUCGUGUCCCAGCCAGAAGCAGGAAGCCCUUGCAAUAUCUUGAGAGACCCUAUUUUUGCUGGCUUUCUAGGCAAGUUGUGCAGACCGAAGAACUUCUGAUAUCCAGAUUUCACUUAGCGGAAAAAUGAGAGGACUUAGUGCUCUUACUGUCAUUUCAGAAAAACAUCGAUGUUGGGAGAACGGUGACUGAGGAAUGACUGCACUUGACCCCUCCCUCGUAUCUGAGGUGAAGCCAUUCACCACCACUAUCUCACUUUCAUCUCUAGCAUCAUUUUUCAUCCUGUCUUGUUAUUAAUAGCAUUCUUGGCUGGCCUUCUGAAUUAGUCUUCGCUGUGAUACUAUCAAAAGUUUUCUCCGUUUUUCUUCGUGCAAUUGUGUCUGUGAUUUAGCUGUUCAUUUGUGCUGCUAUUGUAAGGAGAAAAAGUGAAUUGAGGGUCCUGAUUCUGCAUCUAGGGCACACAAGCAGGGCCCUGAGCUUCCAUGUAGCUGCUUUGAAGACAAACAAGAAAAGACAGUGAACGUCCAAAAAAGCUCACAGGAACCGCUAUAACUAAGUGAGAAGACGCUCUUACUUUGUGUGGCCAAACUUCAGAGAAUUCUUAAGGAAUGAUGCAACCAAGCACCGGCAGGCACCUUCUCAGCUGGCGAGUGCCGAGAGGGCCAGCGAGGAACGGCCCCGAAUGGGAGCUGGAAGUGAAGGGCGCCAAGUUACUCCCACCGCUUCACAGGGUGGCCAGACCCUACAGGGGUCCAAAGAGAUGCAGCGAAAGCUCUGUGUUUGGUCGCCUUCUACCACAUAGCUUCCUCUCCGCCUUCUUGACGUUCAUUCAGCUUACUGGGGCCCAGACGUGUCCAUACUACCAUCCAUGUGCAGCGUUUUCCAGCUGUUCUAUUUUUGUUGUGGUGGUUUCAUUUCCCUGAGCUCAAUGCUUCAAGAACCGUGUGAGAAAACAAGCUUCUGCUUUUCUCUGCUUCUUUGUCUUUUUAAAAAUUAAUCCAUUUUUCCAUUUGAGACAGGAAGUUUGUAUGAUUACAAGCAUGACUCUUGUUCCAAACCAACUUUUAGUCCAAGUCUGUAACUACAAUAAUGUAAAGUACAUAGAAAUACAUUACUAGGAUUAACAUUUACAAAUUGUUUUUAACAAUACAUGUAUCUUAUAUUUCCAUACUCUGCAUUUUUCACUUUUUUGCAUACAUUAUUCAGUAUUCCUUCAAUAAGGCAAUAGGGGAUUAGCAUCAAUUUUUUUGCUGAACACAGUUUUGUCUGGAAUUCCUACUAGACAUUUUUGAACCUUUUGUGCAAGUGUGUUGUAACAGAUGGCUCUAAAAGUCUUUGAAGGACAUAUUUAGAGUAAAAGUGCUCUUUAAAUAAUACACAAAUACUAUAAUUUGCUGGGAAAAGCAAAAUCAUUUACUAUUUUAAAAAUAUGUACAUACUAACAUUCAUGACAAUGAUUAAUCAAGUUUAUAUAAGAGUUUCAGUGUAACUAUAGAAAAUCAGUCAUGUUUAUCAAUCUCGUGCUAUUAGCAUUCCUUAGGCUUCCAGUUCUUUUAUGUUGUUGCCUCACAGUUUUUAUUCUGGGAAAUUUCUUAACAAUACUGGUUUUUUUCUUGUGAGCAAAAGACUAGCAAGGAACCAGAAAAAAAAGGACUUGACAAGUUCUGUCUCCCUAGUGCUGAUUUUCUAAAUUGCUUUUGGGUUUUACUUCUUGUUGAGACUCCCAUGAACUGCCAAAGUUUUGAGGAUUUUUUUCUGGUUUCUUUUUGAAGGAAAAGAAGGGACCUAAAGUAUGCGUUGCCCUAGCCUACUGUGUACAAGCCCUAUAUUCUGAAGUGAGGUAUCCCGCAGAUCGUAUGUAGGUGUGUAAACACACAAAAUGUUAUAUUUCAGAUUUAUAGUCAGACAGGUCUCACACAAUAUUGUCACAUGUCUGUGUGUGCUAUAAGGUCCAGGUCUUCUUGCCUGGAUGUCAUCAUCUUGUUUAAAUUGUGACUGAAAGGGAGUAAUUAAUACUGAUAUUUCCUCACCUAUGAGUGCUUGACCACACAUCCAUAACAAUGAUUUUAGAAAAUUUCAGUGAAAACAGUAUGAACAACAAAUUCCUGGAAAAAGUGGAGAUUGCUGGCUUAAGUCCUACCUCACUCUUCUUGCAUGUUGAUCAGAUCUUAUCAACUGGACAGGAGAGAAAGCCAAUGAGCUUUUUCCACUGUUUCUUUCCUGAUGCAGCUAAUCAGUCUCAAACUAUUAAUCAAGGUAGACAGUAAUUACCAAAUUUUUAGGACAGGUCUGCAAAAAGCAUCAUCAGAUGUAUAUGGUCUUUUUUGAACAUAACAGAAUGAUGGCAAAACCCCUGUGUUGCCAUCAAAGCCAUCAAAUGUCUUUCUACACCCAAAAGGGCUGUGAAUGUCAUUGCCAUUUUUAUUAGUUGUUUCAGAGGGAGUUACAGGGGAUUUCUGAGGAAUGCUGCUGCUUAGCUCUCUGACUUAGUGGAGCAGAAGAUAUUAUAUGGUAUUGCAGAUAUACACGUAAUAGUUCUUAAAUCUUUUAACUAGGUUCAUUGUAACUUGAGUAAUUUCCAGUAUCACUGAAAACCAGCAAAGAGUAGUCAGGAAGUACAUAACAAAUUUGAGCAAAUGUCCUCAAGAAGGGAGUAGUAAUACUGGUUUGAUAUUACAACUGUUUUAUAUAAAACCUGAGCUAUUAGCAUCUGGUAUCAAAUAAUUUUAUGUAAAUUACAAGUUUUAAAUGUAAAUGUAGAUUUACUUAUUAUAGAUAUCUAAUUGCUACUGUUAAUAUCUUGUAACUUAUGUUGGAAGAACGCUCCUUAUGUAGUGAAAGGAGUUAUAAGAACGUGCUAUUGUUAGUAUGUAUACAAAUUAUGCUAAGUUCACCUUCUAAAGAAACAUUUCUCUCUCUUUCCUAUUCUUUUAGGAAAAAAUUACUUUGUAAAUAA